ensembl:lncRNA
ACCUAACGUCAGCAUCACUUGAUAGAAGAGAAUGAGAGAAGAAAAACCUCAUGGAUUUUGCAACGUGAAGAUUCAUGAUGGACCUUCUGGGAAGAGAAGUGAUAAAGCCAAAUGCAUUAGGAAGAUGUCUUCAGCUUCAUCUUUAAACGUAUGGAUUUGGACACUGUCGCUCCAGAACUCUUCGGGAGAGAUAAGACAUGUCGAAUCUUUGAUCGCUUCUGGAGCUGUUUGAGCAGAGCCCUGCUCCCAUUUUCCCUCUGGUGCUGAGGGAAACCACGACAGCUCUCCUUGAAAUAAAGCCCAAAUACGGGAAGCUCACAGGUGGGAGUAGGUGAGGGAACUGGAGGAUAACAGUGAGAGGGUCGGGAAGCUCUACCAGCUGUUUUUGGUCACAUUCACUGGUUUUUGUGAUAGGCUCUUCCUGAAUACCUGCUUCAGUCCGGGCUCAGAGCAGGUGGUGAGGGGAGGUUGGGUGCUGAGGCCGUGAAGGCCUCACAGAUCGUGUAUGAUGAGGUGUGAGUCUCUAUCCCCCUGCCUGGUUCAAGGUAGAAAUCCCAACACUUCGGCCUUCAGAAGAUAAAAAUGUAUAAUUUGUCGAGACUCUUUUAUUGAUGAACCGCCACACAGAGCUCUAAUUCCUUCCAAACCGGACAGCGCGCAUCAAAAGGAACUGCGCCUUUCCACACACGCAGCCCCGCGCUUCCUUCCCCCUCUUAUCGCUUCACAGAGGAGCUGGGCCGGGGCAUUUCCUCGCUAAUGACAGAUGAUGAGCGUUUAAAGGUUUGAGCAACCCCUGGCCAGCCGCUAAUCCCCGUUAAGCCCUCAAAUGGCUCAGGGGCUGCGAGGGGUUAUGGCUGUGGAGAGUGACGUCGGGCGCCGGGCCCGGCGGGACCCGACUGACGGCGUAGGGGUGGGGCGGGGCCUAGCGGUGCUGCAGGCCUGCUCCGAGCCACCGCCACCGCUGCCGGGCGCUUCUCGGCCGACAGAAAAGUGCGUGACGAGAGGAAGGAGGAAAGCGAAGCGUUUUUUUUUUUUUUUUGAGCACUUCCCCUUUAAGGGGCGGGGCCAACGCAGUUUGCGGAAGAAGCCGGCGAGCGGCGGCCGCUGACUCGUCGGCGCGGUCUCGUGACCAUGCUGCGGCCCCGCCCUUCCCGUCCGCCGCCGCACGCCGGCCCCCCGCGUUCCAUUGUGUGCGCCAGCGCCCCCGG